GUUCCAGACUCCUACGGGAGGCAGCAGUGGGGGAUAUUGCACAAUGGGGGAAACCCUGAUGCAGCGACGCCGCGUGGGUGAAGAAGCGCCUCGGCGCGUAAAGCCCUGUCAGCAGGGAAGAAAAUGACGGUACCUGAAGAAGAAGCCCCGGCUAAAUACGUGCCAGCAGCCGCGGUAAUACGUAUGGUGCAAGCGUUAUCCGGAUUUACUGGGUGUAAAGGGAGCGCAGGCGGCACGGCAAGCCUGAUGUGAAAGCCCGCGGCCCAACCGCGGGACUGCAUUGGGAACUACCGGGCUGGAGUGCCGGAGAGGUAGGCGGAAUUCCAUGUGUAGCGGUGAAAUGCGUAGAUAUAUGGAGGAACACCGGUGGCGAAAGCGGCUCUCUGGCCUGUAACUGACACUGAGGCUCGAAAGCGUGGGGAGCAAACAGGAUUAGAUACCCGCGUA
rnacentral:rRNA from 1 species